CAAGCAGAAGACGGCAUACGAGAUGUGACUGGAGUUCAGACGUGUGCUCUUCCGAUCUCUCCACCCAGACUCAUCCAUUUCCGUGAGUAUAGAGAGUUUCUGUUGGUGCUGAUAUACCAGGCCGCAGAGAAUAGGCUCAAGCAACUGUUUAGCAAAAACACAGGUCUAUGCGAAACCGAAAGGUGAGGUAUAUGGGCUGACGCCUGCCCGGUGCUGGAAGGUUAAGAGGAGAGGUUAGCGCAAGCGAAGCUUUGAAUUUAAGCCCCAGUAAACGGCGGCCGUAACGAUAACGGUCCUAAGGUAGCGAAAUUCCUUGUCGGGUAAGUACCGACCCGCACGAAAGGCGUAAUGAUUUGAGCGCUGUCUCGACAAUGCAUCCGGUGAAAUUGAAGUACCAGUGAAGAUGCUGGUUACCUGCGCCAGGACGGAAAGACCCCAUGGAGCUUUACUCCAGUUUGGUACUGGGACUCGGUAUUGCAUGUACAGGAUAGGUGGGAGGCUGAGAGACAGUAACGCCAGUUAUUGUGGAGCCGCUGUUGGGAUACCACCCUUGCAGUAUUGGGUUUCUAACCAGCCGCCGUGACCCGGCGGUGGGACAAUGCCAGACGGGGAGUUUGACUGGGGCGGUCGCCUCCGAAAGGGUAUCGGAGGCGCCCAAAGGUUCCCUCAGAAUGGACGGAAACCAUUCGAAGAGUGCAAAGGCAGAAGGGAGCUUGACUGCGACACCGACGGGUGGAGCAGGUACGAAAGUAGGGCUUAGUGAUCCGGUGGUAUUAAGUGGGAAUGCCAUCGCUCAACGGAUAAAAGCUACCCUGGGAUAACAGGCUUAUCACUCCCAAGAGUUCACAUCGACGGAGUGGUUUGGCACCUCGAUGUCGGCUCAUCGCAUCCUGGGGCUGUAGUAGGUCCCAAGGGUUGGGCUGUUCGCCCAUUAAAGCGGUACGCGAGCUGGGUUCAGAACGUCGUGAGACAGUUCGGUCCCUAUCCGGCGUGGGCGUAGGAUAUCUGAGAGGAGCUGUCCUUAGUACGAGAGGACCGAGAUGGACGGGCCGCUGGUGCAUCGGUUAGACUGCCAAGUCUACGGCCGAGUAGCCAAGCCCGGAAGGGAUAAACGCUGAAGGCAUCUAAGCGUGAAGCCCCCCUUAAGAUGAGAUAUCCCAUUCGAAAGAAGUAAACCCCCUUGAAGACGACGAGGUAGAUAGGGCAGAGGUGGAAGUGUGGCAACACAUGGAGCUGACUGUUACUAAUCGGGUGAGGGCUUGAUCA
rnacentral:rRNA from 1 species